rnacentral:rRNA from 1 species
AUUAAUAAUUAAUAUAUUUAAUAAAAAUAAUUUUAAUUUAAUAAAUAUUUUAAUGGGGGUUAAAGUAUUUUUUAAAGAAAAAAUUUUUAAAUUUAUAGUUAAUUAGUAUUGUGAAAGAAUUUUGAAAUAUUAUGAAAAAUAAAAUUUUUAGAAAGUAAUUUUUAUUUAUUGUAUCUUGUGUAUCAGAGUUUAUUAAAAAUUUUUAAUUUAUAAAUUAAUUUCUCGAAUUUAAAAGAGUUAAAUAAUUAUUAAAGUUAUUGUAGCAAAAUUAUUUUAAAUAAUUAUUUAGAAAUGAAAUGUUAAUCGUUUUUAAAUAUAUCUAGUUUUUAUAGAAAAAAAUUUAAUUUUAAAUUUAAAAAUUAUUUAAUUAAUUUAUUAAUUAAAUAAUUAUUUAAAUUUUAUAAUUUAAGGGAUAAGCUUUAAAUUAAAAUUUUAUAAUAUUAAAUUUUUAUUUUGAAAAUUUUAUAAUUUAUAUUGUUAAUAAAUUUUAUUUUGUUAUAAAUAAUUUCAUUUUUUUAAAAUUUAAAUUUUAUUUAAUUUUUUAUAUAAAAUUUAUUUAUAAUUAUAUAAAGUUAAUUAUAAUGAUAAAAUUAGUAUAUUAUUUAAUAUUAAAUUAAAAUUAAUUUUUGAUUAAUAAUUAAAUUAAUUAAAAGGAAUUCGGCAAAUAUUUAUUUUCACUUGUUUAUCAAAAACAUGUCUUUUUGUUAUUUAAUUUAAAGUCUAAUCUGCCCACUGAUUUAUAAAAAUUGAAGGGCUGCAGUAUAUUGACUGUACAAAGGUAGCAUAAUCAUUAGUCUCUUAAUUGGUGACUUGUAUGAAAGAUUGGAUGAAAAAUAUACUGUCUCUUAAUUAAUAUAUAGAAUUUAAUUUUUUAUUUAAAAAGUUAAAAUAAUUUAAAAAGACGAGAAGACCCUAUAGAGUUUAAUAAAUUAUUUUAUGAAAGUUUUAUUUAUAAUUACUAAUAAUUUUAUAAAUUUAUUUAUUUUGUUGGGGUGAUAAAAAAAUAAAUUUAACUUUUUUUAAGUAAUUUACAUGAAUAAGUGAUUAAU